rnacentral:rRNA from 1 species
AUUGAACGCUGGCGGCAGGCCUAACACAUGCAAGUCGAGCGGUAGCACAGAGAGCUUGCUCUCGGGUGACGAGCGGCGGACGGGUGAGUAAUGUCUGGGAAACUGCCUGAUGGAGGGGGAUAACUACUGGAAACGGUAGCUAAUACCGCAUAAUGUCGCAAGACCAAAGUGGGGGACCUUCGGGCCUCAUGCCAUCAGAUGUGCCCAGAUGGGAUUAGCUAGUAGGUGGGGUAAUGGCUCACCUAGGCGACGAUCCCUAGCUGGUCUGAGAGGAUGACCAGCCACACUGGAACUGAGACACGGUCCAGACUCCUACGGGAGGCAGCAGUGGGGAAUAUUGCACAAUGGGCGCAAGCCUGAUGCAGCCAUGCCGCGUGUGUGAAGAAGGCCUUCGGGUUGUAAAGCACUUUCAGCGGGGAGGAAGGCGAUAAGGUUAAUAACCUUGUCGAUUGACGUUACCCGCAGAAGAAGCACCGGCUAACUCCGUGCCAGCAGCCGCGGUAAUACGGAGGGUGCAAGCGUUAAUCGGAAUUACUGGGCGUAAAGCGCACGCAGGCGGUCUGUCAAGUCGGAUGUGAAAUCCCCGGGCUCAACCUGGGAACUGCAUUCGAAACUGGCAGGCUAGAGUCUUGUAGAGGGGGGUAGAAUUCCAGGUGUAGCGGUGAAAUGCGUAGAGAUCUGGAGGAAUACCGGUGGCGAAGGCGGCCCCCUGGACAAAGACUGACGCUCAGGUGCGAAAGCGUGGGGAGCAAACAGGAUUAGAUACCCUGGUAGUCCACGCCGUAAACGAUGUCGAUUUGGAGGUUGUGCCCUUGAGGCGUGGCUUCCGGAGCUAACGCGUUAAAUCGACCGCCUGGGGAGUACGGCCGCAAGGUUAAAACUCAAAUGAAUUGACGGGGGCCCGCACAAGCGGUGGAGCAUGUGGUUUAAUUCGAUGCAACGCGAAGAACCUUACCUGGUCUUGACAUCCACAGAACUUUCCAGAGAUGGAUUGGUGCCUUCGGGAACUGUGAGACAGGUGCUGCAUGGCUGUCGUCAGCUCGUGUUGUGAAAUGUUGGGUUAAGUCCCGCAACGAGCGCAACCCUUAUCCUUUGUUGCCAGCGGUUAGGCCGGGAACUCAAAGGAGACUGCCAGUGAUAAACUGGAGGAAGGUGGGGAUGACGUCAAGUCAUCAUGGCCCUUACGACCAGGGCUACACACGUGCUACAAUGGCAUAUACAAAGAGAAGCGACCUCGCGAGAGCAAGCGGACCUCAUAAAGUAUGUCGUAGUCCGGAUUGGAGUCUGCAACUCGACUCCAUGAAGUCGGAAUCGCUAGUAAUCGUAGAUCAGAAUGCUACGGUGAAUACGUUCCCGGGCCUUGUACACACCGCCCGUCACACCAUGGGAGUGGGUUGCAAAAGAAGUAGGUAGCUUAACCUUCGGGAGGGCGCUUACCACUUUGUGAUUCAUGACUGGGGUGA